GGAUUAAUUUAUUGGUCGUGCUAUUGUACGUACUGAUAUUAUUGAUUCCUACCUUCUGACGAAUCAUGAUGUCAUUAAUUUGGUGUUAUGGGGAGUUAGGACUGUUACUUUGAAAAAAUCAGAGUGUUUAAAGCAGGCUCACGCUUGAAUACAUUAGCAUGGAAUAAUGAAAUAGGACGUUUGAUUCUAUUUUGUUGGUUUCUAGGAUCGACGUA
rnacentral:rRNA from 1 species